rnacentral:rRNA from 1 species
AGAGUUUGAUCCUGGCUCAGAACGAACGCUGGCGGCAUGCCUAACACAUGCAAGUCGAACGAUGCUUUCGGGCAUAGUGGCGCACGGGUGCGUAACGCGUGGGAAUCUGCCCUUCGGUUGGGAAUAACUGAGAGAAAUUUCAGCUAAUACCUUAUAAUGUCUUCGGACCAAAGAUUUAUCGCCGAGGGAUGAGCCCGCGUAGGAUUAGGUAGUUGGUGGGGUAAUGGCCUACCAAGCCGACGAUCCUUAGCUGGUCUGAGAGGAUGAUCAGCCACACUGGGACUGAGACACGGCCCAGACUCCUACGGGAGGCAGCAGUGGGGAAUAUUGGACAAUGGGCGAAAGCCUGAUCCAGCAAUGCCGCGUGAGUGAUGAAGGCCUUAGGGUUGUAAAGCUCUUUUACCAGGGAUGAUAAUGACAGUACCUGGAGAAUAAGCACCGGCUAACUCCGUGCCAGCAGCCGCGGUAAUUC